CCUACGGGAGGCAGCAGUGAGGAAUCUUGGUCAAUGGGCGCGAGCCUGAACCAGCCAAGUAGCGUGAAGGAUGACUGCCCUACGGGUUGUAAACUUCUUUUAUAAGGGAAUAAAGUGCGGGACGUGCCCCGGUUUGUAUGUACCUUAUGAAUAAGGAUCGGCUAACUACGUGCCAUCAGCCGCGGUAAUACGGAGGAUCCGAGCGUUAUCCGGAUUUAGUGGGUUUAAUGGGUGCGUAGGCGGCCUUUUAAGUCAGCGGUGAAAGUCUGUGGAUCAACCAUAGAAUUGCCUCUGAAACUGGGAGGCUUGAGUACGUGUGAGGCAGGCGGAAUUCGUGGUGUAGCGGUGAAAUGCUUAGAUAUCACGCAGAACCCCGAUUGCGAAGGCAGCCUGCCAAGCCAUGAUUGACGCUGAUGCACGAAAGCGUGGGUAUCAAACAGGAUUAGAUACCCGGGUAGUC
rnacentral:rRNA from 1 species